rnacentral:lncRNA from 1 species
GGGUUUAGAGCGUAAUCGUGCUGAUAACGUGUUGUGAAACAAGAUAAUAGAAUCUGUAUGUUUUUUUUGUUUCUGUAUUAUUCAUAAACAUAAAGAGCCCUUUAUAUAUGGAGAAUUACAAGAGAGAUAAAAGGAAACACAAAUAUGGAAAGACUAGAAUAUGUAAAUAUUACAAAUCAUAGAUCUAUAAGGAAAAGGGAAACUAGAGUUUCUCUCUAACCAGACCGGAAUAGAACAACCAAUGAAAAGUAACUCCCUAUUGGAAAUAUGGAAAGACUAGAAUAUGUAAAUAUUACAAAUCAUAGAUCUAUAAGGAAAAGGGAAACUAGAGUUUCUCUCUCUCUCUCUCUCUCAUGGCCGCCGACUCUCUCUCUCUAAGUAUGGGCCGGUUAUAGACCGGGCCGGUUAUAGACCGGGCCGGUUAUGGACAUCCACAAUAUGAUUUAUAACAAGAACUUUUUUAUCUCGCGGUACCAUGAUUUUAUCGUGUGUUGGUUUAGGAACUACAGUAGACGGUGUGAAUUACGGUAAGAGGCGAUUUGUUUCAAAAAUUCA